GUCCACGCCCUAAACGAUGUCUACUAGCCGUUGGGCCUUUGAGGCUUUAGUGGCGCAGCUAACGCGAUAAGUAGACCGCCUGGGGAGUACGGUCGCAAGACUAAACUCAAAUGAAUUGACGGGGCCCGCACAAGCGGUGGAGCAUGUGGUUUAAUUCGAUGCAACGCGAAGAACCUUACCUGGUCUUGACAUAGUAAGAACUUUCCAGAGAUGGAUUGGUGCCUUCGGGAACUUACAUACAGGUGCUGCAUGGCUGUCGU
rnacentral:rRNA from 1 species